CUUUCCUUCACCAAAUCCUGCGUGGCAUUGCUUAUUGCCAUUCGCACAGGGUUCUUCAUCGAGAUCUGAAGCCACAGAAUCUGCUUAUUGAUCGGCGUACCAAUUCACUCAAGCUUGCAGAUUUUGGGCUGGCCAGAGCUUUUGGUAUACCUGUCAGGACAUUUACCCAUGAGGUACAUAUCACAUAUGAACUAAGUUUUACUUUCCUUCAUUGUCAUUAAUGUUUCUAAGUAUCAAGCUUCAAUGAUUCAGUAUCACACUUAAAUCGUUAGUAAUAUUAGCUAUAAGCUCCUAUGCAUUCACAUUGAUGGUGUCAACAAGUCUUUUUCAUCACCCGAUUGUUGGCUCUUCCUCUCUGCACCCAGGUGGUGACUCUUUGGUAUAGAGCCCCAGAGAUUCUUCUCGGAUCUCGCCACUACUCUACUCCAGUUGAUAUAUGGUCUGUUGGAUGUAUCUUUGCGGAGAUGGUGAACAAGAGCCCGUUGUUUCCUGGGGACUCCGAGAUUGAUCAGCUAUUCAAGAUUUUCAGGUGUUGUAAACUUCUCGAUUCCCAUUCUGUUCCCUUGUCACCCCUUCUUAUGCAUUUCUUUGUUUUACCGUGAUUCCCCCUAUCUACAGAAUCACGGGCACGCCAAAUGAGGACACCUGGCCUGGAGUAACAUCUUUGCCCGACUUCAAGUCCACCUUCCCAAAAUGGCCUUCCAAGGUUUCAUGCUUCAUUUCGCUAGUCUUUCCAAGCUUGGGACUAGACGAACGUUACUGAAAAUUCACAAAUCAUGAGUUUUUGCAGGACUUGGCAACUGUGGUUGAAACUCUCCCUUCAACUGGUAUUGAUCUUCUACGGGUAAGUUGACAAUUCUCUCUCGUUACGAUCACCAUGGUCGCGGCUCAGGAUCAUGAUCCCACUGUUUUUUGUGCCAUUACAGAAAAUGCUGUGCUUGGAUCCCAGCAAAAGAAUUACCGCAAGGGCUGCCCUAGAACAUGAUUACUUCAAGGACAUUGGGUUUGGACCGUAAGUGGAGAUGGAAAUGGAAAUGGUCACCUUUAUUCUAAGUGCCCGACGACCAAAAAAAAAAGAUGUAUAUGUUUUUGUGUAGUGUUAAGUCCAUCGUCACCCCGGUGGUGGGUUUUGGAUUGCGAGGAAAAACAAACUGGUUUCUUUGAGAGAAUCUAUGUGGGGGAAGGAAGGAAGAAAAUCACCAUUGUUGUAAUGGUGUUUUUUUGGUUUCUCGGAUUUGUUUUGGUGGGAUUAUUUUCAGCUUUGAUUUUUGGUAUUUGGCUUGGGGUUUUGCUUUAGUGAGGGGCUUGGGGUUUUGUGCUAUUGUAAUCAACAUCUCUUCCCGCUUGAGAAUGUGUUUUAUUGUGGUUGGCUCCCAUGGUUUUUUGAAGCUUCAAAUCUGUUGUCCAGUUACGAACACAUAACUCUAUCAAAAUAAUAUUUUGUUAAAAUUUUAAAAUAAAUUUACUUUAUCAUUAUUAAAGUUUAGACUUGACAAUAGUAAUCCGAAAACCUCAUAUUAAAAAGAGUAGUAGUCUAGAAACCUCAUAUAAGAAAAAAGUAGUAGUCCACAAACAGGAUACUCUCCUGAAGUAUGUCUACUCUAGAUAGUUAAAACCCGCACAACGUGAGUAAUUGAUGGGGUACGAACAGUCUCGUACCCGUUACUUUGGGUAGACGGGCAGAAAAAGAUCCAAUGGUAUCCGAUUUGUACCCUGAUCGGAUGGGCAUUCGUUCUAAAAAUACGGACUCCAAAAGUGUAGUUGUUAUUUUUUAAACCCAACUAAACAAAUAAAUAUAUACCCGUCUAGACAAACAUACGAGUGAAUAAAAACCAGACAAACAAGCGAACAUGUAACAGGUAGAUAGAUACGCCAAGUCCAUUCCCGUACCUACUACCGGUUGCCUUAGCAAAAUUAAUAUCUCCUUCAGAGGGCCUAAGACGACUUUUUCAAAUCUCAACGGCUGUUUGGACGGUUGUGAUACGUUCAAAUGCUUCAAGUUAAAUACUAAUUUUGUAAGGACCAUACUAGCAAAGAAAAAAACAAAAAAAAAUACCCAACAUUUUCGGAAUACAAAAAUUUAAAUCCCACGGGAAUAUUAAUUAUUUUUCCCUAUUUGGUGAGGCUCUCUUUACUCUUUACUCUUUUCCUUUAUUUUCUUCACAAGUCAAGCACAACUCAACUCACUGCCAAUUUGCUUCGCUUGCAUAUGCCGCCGGCGGGCACCACCACCACCACCGACAUAUGUAUUUGGUGAGGCUCUCUUUACUCUUUACUCUUUUCCUUUAUUUUCUUCACAAGUCAAGCACAACUCAACUCACUGCCAAUUUGCUUCGCUUGCAUAUGCCGCCGGCGGGCACCACCACCACCACCGUAAUCUGAUUCCCGUUUCUCCUUGUACUCGUCCACUUGCGGGGCGAGUUGUAUAGAGACUUUCUCCCGGUAACUACACCAUCCAUCGAACUCCAUUUCCCCCCCCCUUUUUAUUGCAGUUUCCCUCCGAGGUGUGGAUUUCGGUUUUGCAAACUGCUCUGGUUUCUUUUUGAUGAUCGAGAUUUCUUCUCUGUUGUUUUUCAUUUCAUCUCUAGCUCUGUGUGUUUCCGGAUUCCCUUGAUAUGCUGACCGGGUUUACUGUUCUAGCAUUUUGCCACCACUAGUACUAAUCUGCAUUUUCUGAUGAUUGAUUUUGACGAUUUCUUCUUCGUUUACUGGUUUGAUUGAGAUCUGAUCUGUUUCUAAUGCUGCUUUUUUCUUUUGGCUGGCAAUUGUAGGGGGGUCGUUUAGCCCGAUUGAAUGGAGCAGGUACUUGGCUUGCUUGGCCGGUGGUUGUUCACUUGUUGUAGCUGGAUGGGAGUUCUACUGUGAUAUCAAUCUGUUUAAGCUUUUGCACUAUCAAUGUUGAAAGUCUGUGUUUGAAAUUUUGAUGUUGGCAGUACGAGAAAGUGGAGAAGAUUGGGGAGGGAACUUACGGAGUGGUAUAUAAGGCCCGUGAUCGAAACACCAAUCAGACUAUUGCUUUGAAGAAGAUUCGCCUUGAACAGGAAGAUGAGGGCGUGCCAAGCACCGCCAUUAGAGAAAUUUCGCUUCUGAAAGAAAUGCAGCAUGGUAACAUUGUGAGGUGUGUGCUUAACAUGUGUGUCUCACUUCAAAUUUCUUAUUCAUAUGAGCCUUAUAUCUGUGCAGCAAUGCAUGUUGUAACUGAAGAAUAAUGCUUCAUUAAGUUGGUGGUAAUAAGUUUUAUUAGGGUAUCAGAAGAAUUUUAGUAUGAUCUUUGCUUUCCCAAUCAUUAGCUACUUCUUUUAGUGCGCUGUUUUUGUGUUGGCUGCAGGUUGCAGGAUGUGGUGCACAGUGAGAAACGGCUAUAUUUGGUUUUUGAGUACCUGGACUUAGAUUUGAAAAAGCACAUGGACUCAAGUCCGGAGUUUGCUAAGGAUCCGCGUAUAGUCAAAGUAAGUAAGAAAUUUACAACGAGAGGAUUUGCUACCAUUUCCCCUUUAUUUGCAACUAUGCUCCUGCAAUAUAAUAUCAUGCAACUGCUAUGAUAUAUGUCUUACUUGUAUUCCUACCAAUGAUAAUUCUUAUGGCAACAUCCGAAUUAUUAGUUGGAUUUAUGGUUGGGUGAAAAGUUCAAGAUGCUGAUUUGAUGCUCAUUCUAUUAGAAUUCUUGUAAUCAUCGUAUCUAUGCUGGGUGUCCUUUCCCUCGUUUGAUUACUAGUGUAAUAUCCCUUUUCUUUGAUGAAGAUAUUCCCUAUUGGAAAUCUUUGAUACCACUUUGCUACCAAUUUUGAACAUCUAUCACUAUUCAUCGUCUUCAAUUUUGCAGACUUUCCUAUACCAAAUCCUCCGUGGCAUUUCUUAUUGCCACUCUCACAGGGUUCUUCAUCGAGAUCUAAAGCCACAGAAUCUGCUUAUUGAUCGUCGUACCAAUGCACUCAAGCUUGCAGAUUUUGGUCUGGCCAGAGCUUUUGGUAUACCUGUCAGGACAUUCACCCAUGAGGUACACAAACUAGUUUUUUAGUUGCCUUCAUUAUGUCUGAUCACUCUGCAGUUCUUUAGUUGCCUUAUUGUUGUUUGGCUCUUAUUUUCU
rnacentral:lncRNA from 1 species